UACAGAGGUCCCAAGCGUUGUUCGGAUUCACUGGGCGUAAAGGGGUGCGUAGGUGGUCGGGUAAGUCCGAUGUGAAAUCUCCAGGCUCAACCUGGAAAUGGCAUUGGAUACUAUCCGGCUUGAGGAGUGGAGGGGGGAGCUGGAAUUCUCGGUGUAGCAGUGAAAUGCGUAGAUAUCGAGAGGAACACCAGUGGCGAAGGCGAGUCCCUGGACACUUCCUGACACUGAGGCACGAAAGCUAGGGGAGCAAACAGG
rnacentral:rRNA from 1 species